AAAGGAACACCCCACACUAAAUUUACUAGCCCAAAAACCAAACAAUUUCAUAUCCUCCUACCCCUAGCCCACCUAGAUGAGGGAAUAGCGUUACAUUCUUUUCUACCUCUCUUUGCAAAAAAAAUUUUGUUUUUGUUUCUGUUUUUCCCCCCAAUAUUUACAUUCAAUAAGCGGAGGAAAAGAAACCAACAGGGAUUGCCCUAGUAACGGCGAGUGAAGCGGCAACAGCUCAAAUUUGAAAUCUGGCUCCGCUCUGGGGUCCGAGUUGUACUUUGCAGAGGGCGCUUUGGCGUCGGCAGCAGUCUAAGUUCCUUGGAACAGGACGUCACAGAGGGUGAGAAUCCCGUACGUGGCUGCGUGCCUUCGCCGUGUAAAGCCCCUUCGACGAGUCGUGUUGUUUGGGAAUGCAGCACUAAAUGGGAGGUAAAUUUCUUCUAAAGCUAAAUACUGGCCAGAGACCGAUAGCGCACAAGUAGAGUGAUCGAAAGAUGAAAAGCACUUUGGAAAGAGAGUCAAAUAGCACGUGAAAUUGUUGAAAGGGAAGCGCUUGCAGCCAGACUUGCCUGCGGUUGCUCAUCCGGGCUCUUGCCCGGUGCACUCUUCCGCAGGCAGGCCAGCAUCAGUUUGGGCGACUGGAGAAAGGCCUCUGUCAUGUAUCUUCCUUCGGGAUGACCUUAUAGGGGAGGCGUAAUGCAGCCAGUCCGAACUGAGGUCCGCGCAUCUGCUAGGAUGCUGGCGUAAUGGCUGUAAGCGGCCCGUCUUGAAACACGGACCAAGGAGUCUAACAUCUAUGCGAGUGUUUGGGUGUCAAGCCCGAGCGCGCAAUGAAAGUGAACGGAGGUGGGAACCCUCGGGUGCACCAUCGACCGAUCCUGAUGUCUUCGGAUGGAUUUGAGUAAGAGCAUAGCUGUUGGGACCCGAAAGAUGGUGAACUAUGCUUGAAUAGGGUGAAGCCAGAGGAAACUCUGGUGGAGGCUCGCAGCGGUUCUGACGUGCAAAUCGAAUCGUCAA
rnacentral:rRNA from 1 species